CCGUCAAUUCCUUUGAGUUUUAACCUUGCGGCCGUAGUCCCCAGGCGGUGAACUUAUCGCGUUAGCUACGGCACUGACGGAUUUAAACCCGCCAACGCCAAGUUCACAUCGUUUACGGCUAGGACUACCGGGGUCUCUAAUCCCGUUUGCUACCCUAGCUUUCGCGUCUGAGCGUCAGAAAUGGGCCAGGAAGCCGCUUUCGCCACUGGUGUUCCUCCGGAUAUCUACGCAUUUCACCACUACACCCGGAAUUCCGCUUCCCUCUACCGCUCUCAAGCCUGGCAGUAUUGAACGACCUCUCCCAGUUAAGCCGGGAGCUUUCACAUCCAACUUGCCAUGCCGCCUGCACGCGCUUUACGCCCAGUAAAUCCGGAUAACGCUCGUCCCCUACGUUUUACCGCGGCUGCUGGCACGUAGUUAGCCGAGACUUAUUCUGCAGGUACCGUCCUUCCUCUUCCCUGCAAAAAGUGCUUUAUGACCCGAAGGCCUUCAUCGCACACGCGGCGUUGCUGGUUCGCGCUUUCGCACAUUAACCAAUAUUCCCUACUGCUGCCUCCCGUAGGAGU
rnacentral:rRNA from 1 species